rnacentral:lncRNA from 1 species
GAUCCUACACAGAAAGAUGGGGAUGGGAGGGUCAGAGCAAGGAAAGAACAGCACUUCCAGGUCACUUCGCCUCAUUCUGGACUCCCCUUUUCCAGGGUGUGCUGUGACUCCACCCCAUGUCUGCAGGAGCCCCGAGGCAUUCGUCCCAGUGAGCUGACAGAUGACAUCAUGACUAAGACCUUCAUCUGGGACUUUAUGGCCUGAUAGUAUGUUCAAACCUCUUGAGUUCUUGAGUUCUUGGCCUCCUGGAUAUGCUAUAAAAAUGGCAUCUACUCUACUUAUCUCUCUGGGCAAUCCAAGAGAUGAGUGUUAUUACCCACACUGCAAAUGAGGAUUUGCAAAGUCACACUCUUAGUAAAUGGGAGAACACAUGUCUGCCUAAAAUAAUGAAAAUAUUUUAUCCAUUAUGACACAUCGUGCAUCUAACCCCUCA